rnacentral:piRNA from 1 species
GCAUGUAUGGUCAAAGGCUGCCC